GCAUAUCAAUAAGCGGAGGAAAAGAAACUAACAAGGAUUCCCCUAGUAACUGCGAGUGAAGCGGGAAAAGCUCAAAUUUAAAAUCUGGUAGUCUCUGGCUGCCCGAGUUGUAAUCUGGAGAAGUGUUUUCUGUGCUGGGCCGUGUACAAGUCUCUUGGAAUAGAGCGUCAUAGAGGGUGAGAAUCCCGUCUUUGACACGGACAUCCAGUGCUCUGUGAUGCACUCUCAAAGAGUCGAGUUGUUUGGGAAUGCAGCUCAAAAUGGGUGGUAAAUUCCAUCUAAAGCUAAAUAUUGGCAAGAGACCGAUAGCGAACAAGUACCGUGAGGGAAAGAUGAAAAGAACUUUGGAAAGAGAGUUAAACAGUACGUGAAAUUGUUGAAAGGGAAACGCUUGAAGUCAGUCGCGUCUAGCAAGGAUCAGCCUUUCUCGGAAGGUGUAUUUCUUGCUUGACGGGUCAACAUCAAUUUUGACUACUGGAAAAAGGCCAGAGGAAGGUGGCACCUUCGGGUGUGUUAUAGCCUUUGGUCAUAUACAGUAGUUGGGAUUGAGGAAUUCAGCAUGCCUUCAUGGCUGGGGUUCGCCCACAUUCAUGCUUAGGAUGUUGGCAUAAUGGCUUUAAGCGACCCGUCUUGAAACACGGACC
rnacentral:rRNA from 1 species